GGCCCAGGCUGUUUACUCAGACUUGGGGGUUGUUAGUAUAUGAGUGACUGCCGUGAUGUGGCAGCAUGGAUCCUCCACUGCUUGGCCCCAACUCUAGACAGGUGCCCAAUGUGUCACCCUGCCCUGGGGCCCUGAACUCUGCCCUGUGACUCCUUCUGCUUGGGAUGCCCUUGCUAGACUUCUACAGGCAGCAGACCCUACUCAUCUUCUAACACUUGCUUAGAAGUCACCUCUUCCCUAUGAUGCCCUUCCUGACUCCCCGAGAGAGAGCCACUGCCCUCCUGUCUUCUCCCACUGCACCUCACUAUGACCUCAACAAUGACCCAGCCCAUGUGCCACCUCAUCUGUUUACCCCUUCCCCUCAGUGAGCUUCUGGAAGGCAGGGACUGCAACUCUGUUCCUCUCUGUCCCCAUCGCCCAACAUGAAGCCUGAGCACAGCGGAUAUUUACUAAAUGAAUGGAGCUCUCCUGUCUAAAAGAGGAGUGAAAGAAAUUACAUCCAUGCAAACUGACUCACACUGCAGCUGCUGUCUGCAAGGAAAAAAAGGUGGAAAAAUAAGGCGCUGUCACUGAGCACUAAUAAGCUCAAUGGGAAAGAGUGAUAUCUUCCCUUGCAGAGCUUCUUAACAAUCUAGAAGAGCUGCCAGGAACCUAAGAGGUGAGUAUCUCAGGGGAUGCAAGGUGUGACAAGAAAUGUACCUGAUGAAGGUGUUCUGGGUUUCAACUGUGGAAACAGCCAACAACCAGUGCACCAGGCAUCAAAGACAGAGGGAAAGAGGUGACAUCCCUUCCAUUUAGCCCUGAGAGGAAUCCUAGGGGCCAGGUACUACAAGCCUUCCUCCAUAGAUGAGGUCAAGGAGUUACCGAAGAGCUCAGUGACCUGACCAAGGUCACAGAGCUGGAGAGUGAAGGUCUCAUACCCAGGCCUGCUAACACCAGUGCUUGUAUUCCUUCCAGCACAGUCCAGAGCCUGCCUCUCAGACACAGGUUCCCACAGCAGCAGCACCCUUAGGAUCCUGUGAGCCUCGGACUGCACCGAGGAAGCAUGGUUCUGGAGAGGGGACGGGAUUUACCCAGGGCCGCCUACAGGAGCUGCAGUCUGAUCUCGCACUCCUGCCCAGGCUCUGGGAAUGCAGCCUGCAUUCUCACACAUACUCCUUAGUGGGCACAGACAAAGCAAAAGCAAAAACAGUCUCACAGUCUAACCUAUCUGCUCACAUGCACCUUACAAAUAUAUGUGAGAGGAGACAGAGAUUGUGUCUUUCGUGAACUGUGACUCACAUGGUCCUGAGGUCCCACAAACAGGCAUUAAGGUAACUGAAGAGCUUUUACUGCACCAAGCAGAUGACAAAACCAGCAGCAUGAGUUGAACUGACCAGUGCAUGGUAGCUCUCUCAGAGCCAGACACACUUUGCUGCACCUGUUGUGUGCAGAACUCUCCACAAGGCAGCCCAGAGCAGGGAAGAGAACCCUGGAGCUGAACUGUGGCUCCUCCACUCACUACUUGUGUAAUAUUCUGAAUUCUAACCGCUCUAAGCCUGUUUCCUCAUCUAUACAAAAGACUGCACCGCCCAUUUCACAAAGCUGUGCCCACGUGGGGUGGCAUAUGUACCUGGCGUACAGCAAAGGUCAAAUGGUUUUGUUCAUUCCUGAGCAAGCAAAAUAAUUUAUGUAUACCGUAGAAAAAGGAAUGGAAAAAACAGCUACGCCCAAACUCUUGUAAAAUCUUAGUAUGAUAAAAUAGCAUCUUUUGAGGACGUACUAAAGCAUAAAGAAAUUCUGUAAGAAAUUUUUAGCGGCUGAGUAAUUUUAAGGCAGGAUGGGGGAAGGGAAAGCAGAGGGAGAGGAAAGGGAAAGGGAAAAGAGAAGAGCUGAAUUUGAAUCUCUCACUGUACUGGCAGGAGUCAAAAAAGAGUUAACAUGGACACAAAGACAAUGUUACACUAUGCCAACGGACAGAGGUGCUUCCUAAUUACUUAUAACUUUAUCUUCUCUGUCAAAGUCCUAUGCAACCUUUGAUACCUCACUUGCCUGAUGAUCUUUUCUGUUUCACUCAUUAGAAGGUCAAUUCAUAUUUCUUCUAUUAAUUCCUAUUAUUAUCGCACACACUGCACCGUGUCUGCUUGCUGGGCUCCCAUACCAACUCCCGAGCUUCUGAGGAUACACUCUGCAUGUGAUUCAUCUCUAGGCUCACACAGUAGCUGUCCUCUCCAUCCAGGAUCCCCAGCCAGUAGUCACUGGCUCAGAGUCCCCAGGCAGGGACUCAUCUUCCACAGCGGGAAGAUGAGACAGCUCACAUUUACGGUGCUCAUUCCAUGUUGAAUAUUCAAAUAUGAAUGCACAUAUUCCUCCAAAAGCGCCAGUGAGAGAAUACUGUCCCUGUUUUGUAGAAGGGGACACUUUGGCUCAGAGGGGUGAGGGCAGCAGCCAAAGGGUCACAUCGCUAGCAAAUACAAUGAGGCCAGGAUGUGAGCCAGAGUCUGACUCCGAAUUUGUCUGUCCUCUAGAGCAGACAGCUCAGCCUGGGUCUAAUGGGGCCUAGGCACUGGGAAGGAUGACCAGGCUGGGCACCAACCCAGCUGUGGUCUUCUAAGUACGGGUGGUACCAAGGAGCUGUGGCAAAGGGAAAUAAAAAGGUGAACACCAGCUCAGAGAAGCAGAUAGGCGGCUUCUGGAGAAGAAAACUUCCACAUGAGUGUAACAGGUGGCCAUCUCUGAGAUCGGUCCUUUCUGAAGAGAAGGAGCUAGAGCCUGGGUCAGGAGUUCUUAGCCAUGUGUGAUUGGCUAAGGCCACUGGUCAGAAUUUUCCGAUCCUUCCAAACGCUACGGGAUCAUUUGAGGACGUGAACCUACAUGUCAGCGUUUCUAGAAGAAAGCUGUGAACAGAAGUGACCACAGGAAGUCUGGGAAUGUCACCUCCCUUUCCUUUCCCCACCCUUCAGCUCAGUAAAGGGAACUUCCAUGGUGUGUUGUAGGCACUGUCGCACCUCACACCUGUCAUCGGCUAAGCCCUGCUCCUCAGGUCUUCUGGGCCUAGGCCUGGCAACCUCCCACCACCUAGGGCCUCGAGUGCUGACCUCGGCACUGAAGGUUUGGCCCUUGCUGGAAAAGAUGAGCCAGAGCUGGGAGAGCUGUGUAAAAGGAAGCCAUGCUUCGGCUGUUAUGUGUCUGCCGACACAACUGACAUCCUCAGGGAGAAGAGAACAUAAGCAACCCUACAAAAUCCAAAAGAGCCUAAAAUACUGUGCCCACUUACGUUAUCAAGAGAAUGACAGCCAAAAAUUGGAACCAAUCCAAAGAUCCAGCAGCAGGUCAAAGUACAAGCAAAUGGCACAAAACGUUGAGAGAAGAAUUUCUUGGGUCUGGAGUACAGAGUAACUCAGAACACUGCCCACGAUUUACUGUCAAUGAAACUACUAGAACUUAGUAUUAUGUAUCACACGUCUAUCAUAAAAACUUUAAAAUAAUAGCAACAACCAUUGAAAUGCUCCUGUUUGCCAGGUACUAUCCAGGCAUUUGGCACCUAGAUCACCAAGGUGGGUCACCCAGCCCAUGGGCAUGAUUCCAAUGAAGUCCAGCCUAACAAACCUCCCUCAGAAACAAAACAACAAAGAACUUACACUCAACAUCCCAAAACUGGGCUCAGUCAUUCUUUCCAAAGCCAAAACAACAUAUACAACAUUUGUGCUAACGAUGCUAUCUGGACAUAAUUAGCAAUUCAUAAAGUACUUGCCUUACAUGGCAUCGCACUUACUC